GUCACUCUCUCUUAGCUCGUGGCUCUUGGCUCUCUCUCUCGAUGUAAAGAUGUAAGGUUAUAAAGAAGUCCAGCAAUUAACAUCUGCUGUUGAAUGUCCAUUAUCCUGUAACAUCCUUUAUUAUGUAUCUGUAACUAAGAAUAAACCUGAAGAAACCGUAAGUCAGAUUGUGUAUUAGUACUUUUCAAUAAUAUAGACAUAUAUUAUUGUGGCGAGCAUUUGGCCCAAGACUAUAUAUACGUAUAUAUAUAAUCAACUGAACACAAGAAGAAAUUAAGAAGAUUCAACAUUAACAUCAUUCCAAAUUACAUUUUACAUUGGCUAGCCAGCCAGUCUUCUAUUCAAGUUUUGUUCCCACUUCAAGGGGGGGGGAGAGAAGAAUUGAGUUACAAAGCUUUUUUUGGAACUGGGGAAACAAACUUGAAGAGAAAAAAAGAAUCUAGAUGAUCACAGAAGAACUGUGUUUGUAAGAAAAAGAAUGUUUUCAAAUCACAAAAACUGUUCAAGACUAUUUUCUACAACUGAGACAAAAAGCACAAGAUACAACGUGAAUUCUAGAAGCAAGCACGUGGCAGAGAUUGGCAAUCAUCCAGAUUCAAGUCCAGAACUGCGCACCUGUGUGGAUGAAGCAACUAAAUAGACAGAGAUAUCUGGUGAGUAACAUGGAAUUCAUAAAUGAUAUUGCAGAGAAAAGUAUAUUGCAGUUUGCAUUUAAUAGCAGCUAUUCAGAUGCUGUACUGUGGGAAUCUUUAUACACACAAUGUGAAAUUGUCAAUAGUGAAAUUGACAAGAAAUUGUUUGUUAAAAAGAAAAAACAAAAGAUCAGAAAUGUUAUGAAACUAGUCUGUACUUACAAUGCAUUGUUUUGUAAACGAGAUGCAGGUCAAGAAAAUUUAGAAUCAGCAGAUAAAGAAAUAGAUCUGAAUAUGUUAACAGAAGACAAAUCAGAUUUAAAUAAACACUGUAACAAUGUAACAGAGAGCACAUGCUCGCAAUGUAACUUUGAGAGAUUGUCAGAAACAGUCUGUGAACUAGAGGAUAAAGUUGAAUUAAGAAAUGAUCUUAUUUGCCAGCUUAGAAAUGAAGUAAAGCUAGUGUGUGUUAAUACAAGAAAAAUACAGGCACAAAAUUUAAUCCCAGAACCAAUUAAUACUGAAAAUGUAUCCUCACAGAGUGAUGUGCAGAAAUGUAAAUUUCAAGACAGAGCUGAAAAAACUUAAUUUGAAAAUCCAGGAACAAUUAAUGAAAAUUGUGAAAUGUAUUCAUGUUUAUGACACGUCAGUGGAUGCAUUUACUAAUGCUGAAAUGUUUGAGUCAAAUUUGGACAAAUACAGCCUAAAUGACGAACAAAGGAAUAGACUAUUUAAAAUAUGGCUGCCGACUCAAAUGGCAUGUAGACUGACCGUGAUUGUAAAAUGUGAGGACAAUGAUGAAAUAAUAUAUGGAAAAAAGCAAGACAGAUUAACACAAUUAAUAAAAUUAACAACAGGGAAUGAUUGUGCAGACAUUGAAAUGUUGGAAAAACUAAAACCACACAAUGAGGAUAUUUUUAGUUUUCUUGUAAAAUUUGAAAAGGCAUAUAGACUUGUUGCUGAUUUUCCUGAGGAUCAGUUGAUUAAUGAAUUUGUGAAAAAAUUUCAAGAUCUAGAUCCAACUGCAAUUGUGUUAGCUAGAGAAAAAAACACUUUGACAGAAGUAGCUUUGUUCUUGGAUAACUUAAGGAGGGUAACCAAAAAUGAAGGGGUUAAAAUGACUUGUGGAAUUAGGCAGAGAAAGAAGUGCAGAUGUUACACCCCUCACUCCCCCCACCCCCCUCCUCCUUUUUCUAGGACUCAGUGUGAAAGAGUGAUACAGACAGCUGAGCCACUCCCAAUUUGCUCAAAUCAAAGGCAGAAUAUAACUCAUAAAGUUAUUUGUUUUUGGUGCAAUAAACAACAUUAUUUAAGAUCUUGCAGAUAUUUUAUCUGAGAUAUCAAAUCAAAAGCAAAUGAGAAAUUAAAUUUGUUGAUUGAAAAUUUUUACAGAGAAAAUACAUGUGGAGAUAAAUCAAAAACAGGCCUUCCUUAUAAACUGAUAAUCAGACAAAUAAGAGCAAUUUUAGCUAAAUCUAAAUUAGGAGACAGACAAGCACUGCAGUGUAACACAGAAAGUUAUAAGAAUCAGAUAACUUCAAGAGAUAUGAUCAGUUUAGGGAAUGAGCAUGGAUAUGUGUGCCAACAGAUGUACACAGGCUGAUUCCAGAAUUAAGAACAGCACAAAAGAAUAGAGAUCUAUGUUAGUUUGUUGUUUUACUGAAUUGUUGGUCUGAACUGUUUUUUUCAUUGUUUUUAUGUGUGUUAUAAGAAAGUAUUAGGUGAAUUAAUUAAAAUAAAAAUUUACAUCAAGUUUGCAAAUAUGGCAGAAUGAAAUAUACUAAUGUAGCAGUUAGGAACAUGCAAUGUAUGUUAUAUUGGGCGUAUGCGAUUAUACAGUAACUCCAAUCAUUUUACAGAAGGGAAAAAACAAUGUUGUGGCUUCUGAGGUUGAUUUCAAAUAUUUGAUUUAAUUCAUGAGAAUGAGAUUUUAAUAUCAUGACUGAUAAUGGAUUACUAUAUUUUGCAAAGCAUGGACAUACAUAUGUUUUGAUUAUAUAUGAGACAAAAGUUUUGAUAGAAUAAAACCUAGAUUUGCAGAUAUAUUUGAUGUAGGAAACAAUAUAUGUGUUUUUGUAGUUUGUUUCAUGUGAAAAAAUGGUGCCAGUGUUAAGACAAGAUGGCUGCUAUUGCUAAAGUAUAGGGGAAAACAAUAUUUUUUUGUAACAUCUGACAUGUGAUUAGGUUAUACCUCCAGAUUAUUAAACAGUUUAAAAGGGGGGUAUGGUUAAUAAAAAGUUUGGCAAAUUUAAAUGUUCAUAAAGACUUUGAUAUAAAGGAAAUUUAAAGAGUAUACAUCAAAUGGCAUAAAUGUAAUGACCACUAGAUGGUAGAUUCCAUGAGAAGAAAUUAGUAUGUUUUGUGUAGUCAAUAUAAUUCAAUGUUAAACUGUAUAAUAAUAAUGAAAUAUAAACAUUGUAAGCCAUUGUAUUGAUGCUGCACGUUAUUUGUUUUAAUGUAGGUAAAGUGUGACAAAUCCAUGUGGCAAUAAAUCAGGAAAGCAUUCCUUUAGACAACUGGACAUCGACUGUUGGAAAGAGACUUUUCAUCUGAUCUGCAAACUGUGAUGGAAGAUUCUACAGAGUUCAUUUGAUACAGAAGAUUAACAGACUUACAAAGAAAUAAAAAAAUCACAAUAACAUACAUAACAAUUCCUAAAUAUUAAUGGAAAUGAAAACGGACAAUGAAAAGUUAUUUAACAGUUCUGAGUAUUAAUACCAAGAGAGUACUUAUAACUAUAUAACACAUGGAGUAAAAUUAUGAUAGGAUAGUAUUAUGAAGAGAACUAUUACAUUAUUACCUAUACAUAGAAUGAGAAGUAUCAGAGGCAGAUAAAAUAUGAAGUUGAUAAAAUAAGGAUCAUGGUUACUUAAUACCACAAAGAUUGAGUUCAAUAGUAUUUCAUAGAUUAACUAUAAGGAAUAAUUUGUUUAUAAUCGAGGUGAAGUGAAACAAACAAUGGUAACAUAAGGAAGAAAACUAAGGAAGGAUAAUUUAUAUUGAUUAAUAUUAAGUAAUUAUAUACAUUAAGAAUGGCUUGGAUAUAAGAGUUCAGAGAUCCAAGAGGAAUUGAAGUUUAGUUAAGAGUACAGUACACAAUUAUAUUUGACCUAAGUCUACUGACCAAGACUCAGAUGUGAUCACAGGUGCACAGGUUACAGCCUGACAGCUACCCUGCCAGCUACCGGUAGCACACCAAUAAAUAACUACCCACAAUGGGAGAUACACUAGGCCCUUAUAAGACCGGAGGGCGAGGCACACAUAUCGGACCCCCUAAAAUUAGCACGGGGUAACACCCACUGUACGGGGUGAUGGCAGACUAGAGGGCUUACAGCAGCUGGAGAGUUCACACCAAUGGUGUAUAUGUACUAAUACAAUAACACAGUUUCAAUUGUUAUCAAAUGCUUUCUGUUUUUUCUCUCUUCUUUCUUUUAUUAUAAAACACAAACCUAAGUUCACAAAAUGUAACUUGCAGUACCAGAGAGUGUUAUGGUAGCCCAUACGAUAGGUUUUGGGGCGAUAGGUGAUAUUCUUAAGGUGUUAUUCACUGCAUGACUAUGUCAUAUGUAUGUCAAAGCACUCUGUACACACUGUGCAUGUUAAAUUAGCUUGAGCUACGAAAUGUAUUUGAUAUAUGCAUGUUAUACCUGUCCACAUAAGUAAAGAAUUAAACAAAAAAAAAAAAAAAGAUGCAUGGCCCUGGUAGAA